AAUAUAUACAGUGCCAAAAUAAUAAUGGCUUGUGCAAUUCAGUAUCUCAAAAUUGCGCAUGCCAUUAUUAUUUUGGCAUUAUAUAUAUU